UCCCGGGUGGUCCAGUGACUAAGACUCUGCACUCCCAAUGCAGGGGUUCUAGGUUCGAUCCCUAGUCAGGGAA
rnacentral:tRNA from 1 species